rnacentral:tRNA from 1 species
AGCGGUGUGGCCUAACGGUAAGGCGGCGCUCUGUUAAAGCGUCCGAUGUAGGUUCGAAUCCUACCACCGCUG